rnacentral:misc_RNA from 1 species
AACUGAUACUACCUGCGGGAACCUGCGGAAGGAUCAUUAACAAAUCCAAUAAUUGCAGGAGAACACUUGUUCUUUUUGCAAAUAUUAAUCCGCUGGCCGCUAUUUAUAGCAGCUGGCUGUGAUAUAAAUGCGUGUUAUGUUGACAGUGUGUGUAUAAAUUAAUAUUGACAACUUUUAACAAUGGAUCUCU